CCCUUAGAUGUUCUGGGCCGCACACGCGCUACACUGACGGAGGCAGCGAGCGUGUCCUUCGCCGGCAGGUGCGGGCAAUCUUGCGAGUCUCCGUCGUGCUGGGGAUAGAUGGUUGCAAUUGUCGAUCUUGAACGAGGAAUUCCUAGUAAGCGCGAGUCAUCAGCUCGCGCUGAUUACGUCCCUGCCCUUUGUACACACCGCCCGUCGCUACUACAGAGUGCCCGUGUCCAAGAAACGGUCGGACCUGUGCGGCCUCUCCGGGCGACCGGAGGGCCGUUACGGGGAAGACCCUUUAUUUGACGCGGGUCGAUGAAGUAAAAGUCGUAACA
rnacentral:rRNA from 1 species